GAAACGACGAAUAAUACCCUAUGAAACUAUCACUUCGCAUGAAGCGAUAGUCAAAGUGUUAGCGGUGUAAGAUGGACUUGCGUCUGAUUAGCUAGUUGGUGAGAAAAAGACCCACCAAGGCCACGAUCAGUAGCCGGCUUGAGAGAGUGUACGGCCACAUUGGGACUGAGACACGGCCCAG
rnacentral:rRNA from 1 species